rnacentral:rRNA from 1 species
GAUGAACGCUAGCUACAGGCUUAACACAUGCAAGUCGAGGGAAACGACAUCGAAAGCUUGCUUUUGAUGGGCGUCGACCGGCGCACGGGUGAGUAACGCGUAUCCAACCUGCCCACCACUUGGGGGAUAACCUUGCGAAAGUAAGACUAAUACCCGAUGAUAUCCCUAUAAGACAUCUGAAAGGGAUUAAAGAUUUAUCGGUGAUGGAUGGGGAUGCGUCUGAUUAGCUUGUUGGCGGGUAACGGCCCACCAAGGCAACGAUCAGUAGGGGUUCUGAGAGGAAGGUCCCCCACAUUGGAACUGAGACACGGUCCAAAACUCCUACGGGAGGCAGCAGUGAGGAAUAUUGGUCAAUGGGCGAGAGCCUGAACCAGCCAAGUAGCGUGCAGGACGACGGCCCUAUGGGUUGUAAACUGCUUUUAUAAGGGAAUAAAGUGAGUCUCGUGAGACUUUUUGCAUGUACCUUAUGAAUAAGGACCGGCUAAUUCCGUG